rnacentral:lncRNA from 1 species
CCCUGCUCUGUGAAGAGGAUGUCGAAUCAUACAUACGAAUGCAUCGCUCCUUUAGAGCAAUAACUGUCAGUACUCAAUAAAAUAUACCAUCUGAAUUUAAUUGGGACAAAAACCUCAUUAACAAGGUGCCAAGACUGACCAGGGGUUGUACUUAAUCCCUUGAUUGUAUUAAUCAAUAACUUCUCAAUCUGAGCAAUCUCAUCAGAACGUGCAAAUGCAUCUUGAGUUGGCAGUUCC